rnacentral:rRNA from 1 species
AAUAGUACCCCGGUAGUCCAUGCCGUAAACGUUGGGAACUAGAUGUAGGGCCUGUUCCACGGGUUCUGUGUCGUAGCUAACGCAUUAAGUUCCCCGCCUGGGGAGUACGGCCGCAAGGCUAAAACUCAAAGGAAUUGACGGGGGCCCGCACAAGCGGCGGAGCAUGCGGAUUAAUUCGAUGCAACGCGAAGAACCUUACCAAGGCUUGACAUAUAGCAGAACACCGUAGAAAUACGGGACUCUUUGGACACUGUUAUACAGGUGGUGCAUGGUUGUCGUCAGCUCGUGUCGUGAGAUGUUCGGUUAAGUCCGGCAACGAGCGCAACCCUCGUCCUAUGUUGCCAGCACGUUAUGGUGGGAACCUCAUGGGAUACUGCCGUGGUCAAACACGGAGGAAGGUGGGGAUGACGUCAAAGUCAUCAUGCCCCUUAUGUCUUGGGCUUCACGCAUGCUACAAUGGCCGAUACAAUGGGCUGCGAUACCGCGAGGUGGAGCGAAUCCCAAAAAAGUCGGUCUCAGUUCGGAUUGGGGUCUGCAACUCCG